rnacentral:pre_miRNA from 1 species
AACAAAUCAACUUUUCAGUUUUUAGAUACAAUGUUUAACUCUUCGUCGUAUUCAAAAUUUUUUAUGAUUAAUAAUUUUAUUUUUAUUAGAUGAUAAAACAUAAAUAACACUUUAUGUGUGACUAAUUUUUUUAAAAUUUCUUGAUAUUUUUUUCAAAUAAAACGGAUGGUCAAAUGCUCGACACAAAAACCGA